rnacentral:lncRNA from 1 species
CUCAAGAAGAGGAAAAGGACAAAAGGGCCGGGAGAGGUUGGCUGGGGGACCUGCCGGAGGGAGGCGGUGGGCGGCUUGCAGACUCCUGCUGGUGGGCGGGGUGCGAGGGCGGAGCUCGGGUGACGCAGCGCUCACGUGACCGCCGGGCUCCGAAGUGGGCACCGGUGCGGGUGCCAGCUCUCCCUCCCUGCUGUCGGACCCGGAGCCAUCUGGGCGCCCCUAAUUGUUGCUCCAGGUUCUUUCAGGUGUACGUGUCUGUUGUUCCCAGUGCUCUACUGGGCUAGAGAAGGAGGAGGAGCCUGUCCAGAAUACCCGCAGGACAGG